rnacentral:rRNA from 1 species
AUUGAACGCUGGCGGCAGGCCUAACACAUGCAAGUCGAGCGAGCGGCGGACGGGUGAGUAAUGUCUGGGAAACUGCCUGAUGGAGGGGGAUAACUACUGGAAACGGUAGCUACUACCGCCUCCCAUCAGAUUUUCCCAGAUGGGAUUAGCUAGUAGGUGGGGUAAUGGCUCACCUAGGCGACGCUCCCUCGCGGGUCGGAGAGGAUGACCAGCAAAACGGGAACGUAGCAACGGCCCAGACUCCUACGGGAGGCAGCAUGGGGAAAUAUUGCACAAUGGGCGCAAGCCUGAGGAAGCCAUGCCGCGUGUGUGAAGAAGGCCUUGGGGUUGUAAAGCACUUUCAGCGGGGAGGCGUUACCCGCAGAAGAAGCACCGGCUAACUCCGUGCCAGCAGCCGCGGUAAUAC